rnacentral:lncRNA from 1 species
AAGAGAAGUAAAGAUUUAGAGUUUCUUUACCCUUGAAGCUCAUCCUUGUUUACACAAAGGAUUCACCCAAGUGGAGGGCCUUCAAGUCACCUCCAAGCUCCUUGGAUAUUCCUUGUGAUUUUCCUCCUUUUAGUGCUCCUUUGCUUCUUUGAGGAUUUUAGGAUUUGUUCUCCAAAACACCAAAAAUUUGAUGUCUCUAACUCUCCACACCAAGGAUGUAUCUUGUGAAGAUAAAAUGGAUGACUUAGGGAAGAAGAGAUUGCUAGAUGUCCCUCCCCUAAGUGGCCGGCCUAUUUAGAGAAAAAUGAGAGAAAGUGUUUCACCCAAUUUCUUUAAGAAAACCCUAAUGAGAAAUAAAGCUAUAAAGUUCCUUUUAUACUUCAUUUCAAGUGAGUGGCAAACUUGUAAUUAAUCCAAGCUUGCCCAUUCACCCUAAUGGCCGGCCAUAUUAAUGUUAUUGGACUAAUUGCCCAUUUUGUUUUAGUUGUCAUACAACUUAAACAUAAUG